rnacentral:misc_RNA from 1 species
GUCGUAUUGAAGAUCAUGAAUAAGUUAACAGGUUUUAAGACAAAUUUCAAUUACAAAGGAACAAGAGAAUGUUAGAAUGACAAAUUAGAGUCAAUGAAGCAAGCUGCUUAUGAAUAAAAGUAUGCAAACUAAAUAUUUCCAUUCCCAAUUAAAGUGACCAUGAAUAAUUUCUCAAAAUUUCCCCACCUGACAUGCGUGAAAAAGAACUAGAAUAUUCAAUCUCAAACCAUGGAAUAAAACAAGAAAGAAAUCAGUUCAAAUAUUAAGAACACUAUCCAAUCUCACCCAUUAAUUUAAUGGAUCACAA